CGUGCAUCAGUGGGGUCCCUCGGCCUGGCCUGUGCCCUCCUGCAAUCCGGGACCCCUCGGGGGAUGUUGGAGAGCUGGUUUCGGCCCAAUCUCACAGGCCAGGCCGAGGGACCCCACUGGUGCAUG
rfam:Myotis brandtii contig292857, whole genome shotgun sequence.